rnacentral:rRNA from 1 species
UGAACGUUGGCGGCGUGGAUUAGGCAUGCAAGUCGUACGCAUAGCUUCGGCUAUGAGUGGCGCAAGGGUGAGUAAUGCGAAGGUAACCAACCCUGGUGUUGGGCAUAGCCGCGGGAAACUGCGGGUAAUUCCCAGCGACGUCACGAGAUGGCAUCAUCUUGUGACCAAAGGUGUGAUUCCGCUCUAGGACGGGCCUUCGUGGUAUUAGGUAGUUGGUGAGGUAACGGCUCACCAAGCCGACGAUGCCUACCGGGUGUGAGAGCAUGACCCGGCACACUGGAACUGAGACACUGUCCAGACACCUACGGGUGGCUGCAGUCGAGAAUCUUCGGCAAUGGGCGAAAGCCUGACCGAGCGACGCCGCGUGAGGGAUUGAAGGCCUGGUGUAACCUCUUCGUAGAGGAGGAAGGGGCCGUGAAGAACGGUCGUUUGACCUAUUCUAGGAAGAAGCGUUGGGCUAAGUUCGUGCCAGCAGCCGCGGUAAGACGAACCAAGCGAACGUUAUUCGGAAUUAC